UUGGGAGUUAUUAGAGUUAGUGCCGGUUGUGACAAAAGCCGCAUUUGCAUAUCGCCUGUGAUGGAGGCUGGAUGGAGCCUGAAUGCGGCAUUAACUGCAUAUCAGAGACCCUUUCAGAAGCCAAACAGGAUGACAUUUAUUGCAAGCUCGAUGCCGCGUGUCUGGCAUUAGUUACUGCUUGUUGUGUCCUGUGGAAUGUAGAUUUCCAGUCUUGGGAUCUUCCUGGGGCUUGAAGCAGCAGCUUCCUAUGUCAAGAGCAAGCUUAAUGGUGCAGCCAUCCCCUCCGUCAUUUACAGAGCAUUUCAUCAACCAAGAGAACCCUCUUGCCCUUGGCCACCGCCCCAGGGCCGCCGCCUCUCCAGCCUUGAGACUACCACAUCUGCCUCCUCUCUGCAAGGAGCUGCCUCCCCUCUCACUUCCUAUUAAUGCAGUGGCACCGUGUUUGACUUUGUGGCUGGCAUCUUUCACUCAGCAUAAUGGUUUCCAGGUCCAUCUGUGUUCCUUCUCAUGGCUGAAUAAUAUUCCACUGUAUUCAUCAGUGGACCCCAAACACUUGUAAAACAUACUUCCUUUUUUAUCUUAAAAGAUACUCAUGACAAAA